GAAAAAAUAAAAAGCAAAUCUGUCGUCUCCUUGGGGCGCCGCCUAAGGCGAGAAGCUCAUGGCUAUCGAGAUGGAGACCACACGAGACGACGGGAUCGAGUUCUUGUCAGUUACAGUCUACAGAGAUUUCCCCUGCCAGAUCUCGCUGGUGCAGGGCCGCUGUUGGCCCAUCCUAGAAGCCGGGCUCUAACAUGCGCGCCUGCUGAGUCCAGCAUUGAUGAUGCGGGGGACGCGGCAGUGACCUUACAAAUCGAGUUGCACAGCACUUGUGAUGCGGUUGCCCUGUCCGCACCCGCCUCCGAGCAAUCUACAGGCAAAAACGACCCUCAAGCCCCUGGCUGGGCCAAAAGAGUCCGUGUUGGUCGUGCACCUGACGAACGCCCUCCAUGUGCUGCGAGGAUGAGUGCAUUGGAGGUAGCAUUAUGAAGAUAUGCAGAAAACAAAACUGAAACUGUCAUAGCUCCUGUUGUGGGAAGCAACUUCGAUAGAUUGGGAGAAGCUUAUGAUUACUACAAUCUCUACUCGUGGGAGAUUGGGUUUGGAGUAAGAUAUGGUAAAAGCCGGCUAAAUUGAAAGGACAAAAUGCUUGCAGGAAAUAGUUUGUGGCUGCUCUAUGCCCCACGAUGAUACGGUUGCUUCGAACAUCUGACAUUGGCUGGUAUAUAAACGAGUUCAGAGCUGAUCACAACCAUGCUCUCAAUGAAAAAUGUGUCUUCAGUUCAUGGGAGGGCUGAUGGCGUAUCGAUCGCAGUUGGAGAUAUCGAAGAAGAACCUGAAGUGCAAUCCGGUUUUUCAGCUAUGGAAGAAGUGGCUACAUAUAAUCCAGAAGAUCAUAGCUUCGCCGAUGGUGAUGGCUCCACCUAGGCGGGCAGCUGCUGCGAGUCAACCACGAAAGUUGACCGUCGAUCCACUACCGACGACGAUGAUGACACCAACCCAGCCAAGCAGGCAAGGAUUGAUGAGUAAAAAAUCUGCUGGAGCUGAUUAUAGAUGAUAUGCUGAAACUACGGCUCACUCCAUGAUUAAAUAGCCCUGACGAGUUGAAUGCGGUAUUAUGUGUAUCUCAAGUAAUAAAUUUAAUGAUCCCCUGUUUUUUCUGCAGUAGUUGUGCUACCAGUAGAAUGCACAAAUGAACCGUUGCUGCUCUGCUUUGAUAAUCACUCUACCUGAGAAAAUAGGUGAGAGGCAAA